UGGUUACUGGACAAGAGUUGGAAAGCUCCAAGGGUUGGGCUGUUCGCCCAUUAAAGCGGUAGGUGAGCUGGGUUCAGAACGUCGUGAGACAGUUC
rnacentral:rRNA from 1 species